rnacentral:rRNA from 1 species
UACGUAGGUGGCAAGCGUUGUCCGGAUUUAUUGGGUUUAAAGGGUGCGUAGGCGGUCCUAUAAGUCAGUGCUGAAAUAUCCCGGCUUAGCCGGGAGGGUGGCAUUGAUACUGCAGGACUUGAGUGAAGUCGAGGUAGGCGGAAUUGACGGUGUAGCGGUGAAAUGCUUAGAUAUCGUCAAGAACACCGAUAGUGAAGACAGCUUACUAGACUUCAACUGACGCUGAGGCACGAAAGUGUGGGGAUCAAACAGG